GUGAGGGAGGUCACGGCGUAUUUCAUAUCCUCUCGUCUACAAAUAUCUGAGCAAUGUGACCAACCAGACUCCUCUCCUGGGUGGCACCAAAUGCCACCUGAGUUUGGAAAGCUGUCAGAGGUCAUGGGUACGGAAACCCUGUUUUUGGCCAGAAUGAUUCACAAAUUCUGAAAGCCAGGACCCUGAAGGGUUUUGUUUUGUUUUGUUUCUUGACUCUUAUUAUCAACUUUGGUUCCACUUGCUUUUUAUUUUCUGUUUCCACAGCAUUAAACUCUCAUGACUCCUGCUGAUAACACCCUCUCCUUCCUCCAAGGCUUACCAAAGCAGAACGUCAAGUGCCAGUGGCUUGUUUUUCUCAGCGAUGGCACUUGGCAGUCUCUGGAGCCCGCCAGCUCCGCAACUGGGGCCAAGAUGACAAAGUCAUGCUGAAUACUGCAGUGCCUUCAGCUGUAAUAACAGGCUGGGAUUUGGAACUCAGCGGGAAUUCUUCUCGGGGCAGCUCACAGUGUUAUCAGCCCUGACUUGUGCACUUGAUGAGACGGGAAGGUCCGGAGAGCUAAGUUACAAGACCCUCCCCACUUCCUCCUUCCCUCACUCGCGCUGUUUAUGGCUAAUUGCACGUUUCUUUGGACUGGGCACUGCUGGGCACAGGGAUUGGGACUCGAACUAGGGAGACACAGACACGAAAAUGGGUCUGCAGGCUGGACAUCCAAGACCAAGGUGCCUGCUGGCACAGUUGCUCUCUCAUGGAACCUUCUCUCCUUGGCUACAGCCAGCCUCCUCCUCCAGGUGUCUCACUCAGCCUUUCCUCUGUGAGGGUGUGCUUCUGCUGUCUCCUGGUCUUUCUGUAAGGACAUCAGUUCUAUCAGCUCAGGGCCCCACUCUGAAGGACCUCAUUUAACCUUAAUACAUUCUUAAAGGCCCUAUAUCUCUGCAUACAGUCACAUGGGGGGUUAGGGAGCAGCCUGGGUUUUGUGGGGAUAGAAGUUGGUUCAUAAUGCUUCUCAACUGCCUGGGGGGCAGGAUGGACCCCUUAGAUUCUACCCACUUCUCUUCUUAGUCCUUUGUCACAUCUAUGAGGAUGUGCACCCUGACCUGCACGUCCUAGCUCUGUCCUACUGUUCCCUGUAUACAGCCACCACUGGCCUCUCCAUCGUAUACAGGAGUCAGGGCAGUGUCCCUAGGAAAAAUGGAUCUUAGAGAGAGGCCCGUGUAGGUCAUGGAAGGGAGUUCCCAGGUCCCCAGGGACAUGUCCCCCAAGCCCUACAGCACCUCUAACCCUAUGCAGAGUGCUAAGGCUGGAGGAGGGCCAAGGGAGAGCCCUCUAAAGUCGGAGGUGGCAACCUCCAGCCUGCGGGCCAACUCCAGCCUGCUCCCGUUUGUGUACGACCUGCCUGUGAACAAAUGCAAAAUGAAAAAAAUGUAAAAAAAAAAAAAAAAAAAAAAAAGACUACCAGCCUUUUGGCAAGAACAGCUCAAUUCUGCCUCUUGGAAAGCUCAAAGCCUGAAACAUUUAUCCUCUAGCCCUUAGCAGAAGAAGUCUGCUGAUCUCAGCUCUAAAACACAGGGCAGGGACCCCUGGGUCCCUCAGCACCUUUGAGAGAUAUCCUUUCCACGUGCUGUAUUGAGGAACUUCCACUGGGCAACACAGAGCUCAAAACCAGCUGCCUCCAAAAGCCACAGUGACCCCUCCCAUCCCCCCUUAGGGUGACAAUGCCACCCCUCCCACCAACAGACAGAAUUUAUAGCACCUCCCUUAGAAUCUGGGCAUGCUCUGGGCCUUGCUUUGACUUACAGGAUGUGGUUGAAGGGACACAGUUAAGCUCCAGGUGCUGCUUAAGGGGACUUAUGGCUUCUGUUUUUGCCCUCUUGGGAACCAGCCACCAUGCUGAGAAGCUCUGGAUAAACUACUCAAUGGUGACAGAUCUCAUGGAAAGACAGAC